rnacentral:rRNA from 1 species
UGGCGGCAUGCUUUACACAUGCAAGUCGAACGGCAGCGCGGGGCAACCUGGCGGCGAGUGGCGAACGGGUGAGUAAUACAUCGGAACGUACCCAGAAGUGGGGGAUAACGUAGCGAAAGUUACGCUAAUACCGCAUACGUUCUACGGAAGAAAGUGGGGGACCUUCGGGCCUCAUGCUUUUGGAGCGGCCGAUGUCUGAUUAGCUAGUUGGUGAGGUAAAGGCUCACCAAGGCGACGAUCAGUAGCUGGUCUGAGAGGACGACCAGCCACACUGGGACUGAGACACGGCCCAGACUCCUACGGGAGGCAGCAGUGGGGAAUUUUGGACAAUGGGCGCAAGCCUGAUCCAGCAAUGCCGCGUGAGUGAAGAAGGCCUUCGGGUUGUAAAGCUCUUUUGUCAGGGAAGAAACGGCUGAGGAUAAUACCUUUGGCUAAUGACGGUACCUGAAGAAUAAGCACCGGCUAACUACGUGCCAGCAGCCGCGGUAAUACGUAGGGUGCAAGCGUUAAUCGGAAUUACUGGGCGUAAAGCGUGCGCAGGCGGUUUUGUAAG